AGAGGUGGAGACUCGUGUGACGACGAGGCAGAGGUUUGUAUAGUAUGUUUUCUAGAAUGUCAGUACACAAGAGCUUCUGUACAGAACAAUCAUGUCACGUUAUUUUCUAAUUCUACCCAUACACCUUAAACAAGAUGUAUUCAUGUCAUCUGAAUGUAAAGUAUGUGUGAUUACUGCAGGGUUUGAUUAUUUCUCUUUUUUUGUUGUUGAUCACAUAACUUGUCCUGUUUGAAGAGUUUGGGAGCACAUAUGCAAAGAUAUACAAAUGUUUGUCCACUGGUCGGAGUUAAACGGGACCAUGUGAUUGUAAAUAUCAAUCUAAAUUACUGCAGGGUCAACAGCUUUAACAGAUUCCCAAAUGGAAAUUUGGGACUAUUGAGACUAUUACCUGGCCUUGGCCUGGAACAUUUCCAAAGUGUUUCCCAACUCUUCAACAGGGCUGUGUCGAACAGUUUUAUUUUCUGAGUGUUUGUGAAGAAGCUGUCUUAUUUUAGAUAAACUGAAUGUAACUACAGUUUUCGUAAUUCCAAUUUUCAUUACGUAACACCUUGGGUUAGAUCUGAAUGCU